GAAAAACCUUGGAGCUUUGAUCUCCAUCUUCUUCAAGCUUAGAUCUCAAAGCUAUUGGAGUAUUCUAGAGUAGUUAAGGACAUGUGAAUAGCACGAGCACAAGUGGUGGGGUCUCGAAGGUGACUUUUGAAACUUGGAGACUUAGUCCUAGUUUUGGAGAUUAUCAUGGAUUUUUGUUUAUUUAGACUUUCCCUUUGACCCUUGUAUUUUUGGUAGACCAUUGUGCUUGGUUUUGGUGCUUGUGAUGCAUUUUGGGUAUACUACUCUUGAUUGUAAAUAUCUAAUAGUGGAUUUGAUGAGUUUUUGGGAAGAACAAGUCGAUUAUAUUUUGUAAUUUUGGGUUGUGGAAUUAUUGUA